CUUCUUCUCUCUGUUUAGCAAAGAUUUACUGUACUGGAUAAGAACAACGAUGGCAAGUUGAGCCGCAGGGACCUGAGGAAGCUGCGAUACAAGAGGAUGCCACUGGAGCAUUGUGCUACACCAUUCUUUCAAUCAUGUGACCGUAACAAGAACAGGAAGGUGACCCUGCAAGAGUGGACGACCUGUCUGGUUGAUCACUCCGAGGCCUGGUUCUAUCAUUUCAUGUCAAUGAGAAUGGGCUCCCGCAAGCUGUGUCCUUCAAUCAAAGAGAACUCCCUUUGACAUGAACAACAGCCAUGAACUCCUUCCUGCAUGUCUUGUGUAAAGAACUUGCUGAAGAAACAUUACCAGAGUUAUUUCAAAGCUACGGGAUGGCAUCUCUACACACAGCUCACGCAUCUGUUUUACGCCAGUACUGCAGCUCGUAACGCAGUGAUUUAUAACCUCAUCAAAUUUGAAAGUCUACUGGUUGUCUGUGCAUUCAUGUG
rnacentral:lncRNA from 1 species